rnacentral:rRNA from 1 species
UGGGGAAUAUUGGACAAUGGGGGGAACCCUGAUCCAGCCAUGCCGCGUGUGUGAAGAAGGCCUUAUGGUUGUAAAGCACUUUAAGCGAGGAGGAGGGUACUGGUAUUAAUACUACCAGGUACUGGACGUUACUCGCAGAAUAAGCACCGGCUAACUCUGUGCCAGCAGCCGCGGUAAUACAGGGGGUGCGAGCGUUAAUCGGAUUUACUGGGCGUAAAGCGUGCGUAGGCGGCUAAUUGAGUCGGAUGUGAAAUCCCCGAGCUUAACUUGGGAAUUGCAUUCGAUACUGGUUAGCUAGAGUGUGGGAGAGGAUGGUAGAAUUCCAGGUGUAGCGGUGAAAUGCGUAGAGAUCUGGAGGAAUACCGAUGGCGAAGGCAGCCAUCUGGCCUAACACUGACGCUGAGGUACGAAAGCAUGGGGAGCAAACAGG